CAAAAGCUUGGUCCUGACUUUACUAUCAAUUUUGAUCAAAUUUAUACAUGCAAGUAUCCGCAUCCCUGUGAGAAUGCCCUGCCUUUUCCAAAACGAAAAAUAGGAGCUGGAGUUAGGCACGCCCCGGCAGCCCAAAAUUCCUUGCUUAGCCACACCCCCACGGGAACUCAGCAGUAAUAGACAUUAAGCCAUAAGUGCAAACUUGACUUAGUUAAGAUUAAGAGGGCCGGUAAAACUCGUGCCAGCCACCGCGGUUAUACGAGAGGCUCGAGUUGAUAGACGCCGGCGUAAAAUGUGGUUAAUAUAUACUAUUACACUAAAGCGAAACACCUUUUAAGCUGUUACACGCAAUCGAAGGCAGGAGGUUUUCUUACGAAAGUAGCUUUAAACUAUAUGACCCCACUAAAGCUAGGACACAAACUGGGAUUAGAUACCCCACUAUGCCUAGCCUUAAACAAAAGUGAUUAUUUACACCCCCGCUUGCCAGGGAACUACGAGCCCUAGCUUAAAACCCAAAGGACUUGGCGGUGCUUUAGACCCCCCUAGAGGAGCCUGUUCUAGAACCGAUAACCCCCGUUAAACCUCACCCUCCCUUGCCAAACCCGCCUAUAUACCGCCGUCGUCAGCUUACCCUGUGAAGGACUAAAAGUGAGCAUAAAUGGUACAACCUAAAACGUCAGGUCGAGGUGUAGCGUAUGAGAGGGGAAGAAAUGGGCUACAUUCACUGCCACAGUGAACACGAACGAUAUGCUGAAAAGCACAUCUAAAGGAGGAUUUAGCAGUAAAAGUGAAAUAGAGUGUCCCUUUGAAACUGGCCCUGAAGCGCGCACACACCGCCCGUCACUCUCCCCAAAUGCCAUCAAAACCUAAAUAAAACAGCAAGAGCUAUAAAGGGGAGGCAAGUCGUAACAUGGUAAGUGUACCGGAAGGUGCACUUGGAUAAACC
rnacentral:ncRNA from 1 species